rnacentral:misc_RNA from 1 species
CUCUAUUAUAGAUUUUUACAGGUAAACGCUAAGCAAUAUAUAUGCCUAGAAGGUUAAAAGAUUUCUACUGUGAAUAUAAGAUUUCCAAGAGUCUGCAGUCAAGGAAAACAUUUCCAAUUUACUAAAUAACACAAGCAAGUGAAAUAUAUCAGGAGGAAAAACCUUACAAAUUUGGGCUCACAAAAGUUAACAAGUUCUAUGAAAGCGAGCAUUUUUUUAACAAGCGAAUUGCACAAAACUUUACAAGUCACGCUGUAAAUCACAGGAAAACUAGACCCCCAUGACAUGACAAUCAGCAAGAAAGAAUUGAUUAGCAUAGGAAAUUUACAGACAAAAGUAAUUAAGCAUGCUUGCUUUAUGUUUAACAACCUAUUUUCCAUCUAAUUUUCUGAGUACGUGAAUUAAGAAAAAAUGACGGAUGUCUACAUCCAAAUUGGAGACGGAUGAAUGGGAAUAUCACAUAUUCCUUUCGCAUUGACUUUUUAUCAAUCACCUUACAUGCAUAACAGAAUAUAAUUUGGCAAGUUACCUUGAUCGUGAAAUUGAGAGCGA